rnacentral:rRNA from 1 species
UACCUUGUAGAUUGGGAUAACUCCGGGAAACCGGGGCUAAUACCGAAUAAUCCAUUUUGCUUCAUGGCGAGAUGUUGAAAGACGGUUUCGGCUGUCACUAUAAGAUGGGCCCGCGGCGCAUUAGCUAGUUGGUAGGGUAAUGGCCUACCAAGGCGACGAUGCGUAGCCGACCUGAGAGGGUGAUCGGCCACACUGGGACUGAGACACGGCCCAGACUCCUACGGGAGGCAGCAGUAGGGAAUCUUCCACAAUGGACGAAAGUCUGAUGGAGCAACGCCGCGUGAGUGAAGAAGGUUUUCGGAUCGUAAAACUCUGUUGUAAGGGAAGAACACGUACGAGAGUAACUGCUCGUACCUUGACGGUACCUUAUUAGAAAGCCACGGCUAACUACGUG